rnacentral:rRNA from 1 species
UACGGAGGGUGCAAGCGUUAUCCGGAUUCACUGGGUUUAAAGGGUGCGUAGGCGGCUUCAUAAGUCCGUGGUGAAAGCCAACAGCUCAACUGUUGAACUGCCAUGGAUACUGUGAGGCUUGAGUACAGACGAGGUAGGCGGAAUGGAUCGUGUAGCGGUGAAAUGCAUAGAUACGAUCCAGAACACCGAUUGCGUAGGCAGCUUACUAGGCUGUAACUGACGCUGAGGCACGAAAGCGUGGGGAGCGAACAGG